rnacentral:tRNA from 1 species
AAGGGGAGGUAUUCCACCAAGAACUGCUAACUCUUGUAUCUGAGCCUAAAACCUCAGUCCCCUUA